rnacentral:rRNA from 1 species
GACGAACGCUGGCGGCGUGCUUAACACAUGCAAGUCGAACGGAAAGGCCCUGCUUUUCUGGGGUGCUCUAGUGGCGAACGGGUGAGUAACACGUGAGUAACCUGCCCUUGACUCUGGGAUAACCUCAGGAAACUGGGGCUAAUACCGGAUAGGAGCUCCUGCUGCAUGGCGGGGGUUGGAAAGUUUUGGCGGUAGGGGUUGGACUGGGGGCUUAUCAGCUUGUUGGUGGGGUAGUGGCUUACCAAGGCGUUGACGGGUAGCCGGCCUGAGAGGGUGACCGGCCACAGUGGGACUGAGACACGGCCCAGACUCCUACGGGAGGCAGCAGUGGGGAAUAUUGCACAAUGGGCGGAAGCCUGAUGCAGCGACGCCGCGUGCGGGAUGACGGCCUUCGGGUUGUAAACCGCUUUCGGCUGUGACGAAGCGAAAGUGACGGUACCGGCAGAAGAAGCGCCGGCUAACUACGUG